UACGAGGGGGGCAAAUGUUGUUCGGAAUUACUGGGCGUAAAGCGCACGUAGGCGGCUUUCUAAGUCGGGGGUGAAAUCCUGGAGCUCAACUCCAGAACUGCCUUCGAUACUGGAGAGCUCGAGUCCGGGAGAGGUGAGUGGAACUGCGAGUGUAGAGGUGAAAUUCGUAGAUAUUCGCAAGAACACCAGUGGCGAAGGCGGCUCACUGGCCCGGUACUGACGCUGAGGUGCGAAAGCGUGGGGAGCAAACAGG
rnacentral:rRNA from 1 species